rnacentral:rRNA from 1 species
GACAGAGGUGCCAAGCGUUAGGCGGAAUCACUGGGCUUAAAGCGUGUGUAGGCGGACUUGUAAGUACCUUGUGAAAUCCCACGGCUCAACCGUGGAACUGCUUGAUAUACUGCUUGUCUUGAGCCACUUAGGGGCUACCGGAACAAAUGGUGGAGCGGUGAAAUGCGUAGAUAUCAUUUGGAACGCCAAUGGUGAAAACAGGUAGCUGGGAGUGUGCUGACGCUGAGACACGAAAGCCAGGGGAGCGAACGGG